ensembl:lncRNA
AUCGAGGUUCGUGUUACCGAGUCUGCUUAGACCUGAAUGUAAUAAACUCGGGAGCAAAACACGAUGGUUUUUCUCAAGAAAGUAGGUUUACGUUUCUUUCGUUAAAACUUUUUGGGAAUUCAUUUGAUUUAUAAACGAGUUCGAUAACUGAAGCCCAGUGCUGGGAAAAUGGAAUUAAAUAUAUUAAGGACCAACAUUUUACAAGAAUUAAAAACAUAACGUCGUUAAAAAAGAAUAAAGAAAUGCCGUCUUUUUUAACAUUAUUUAAUUCUCCUUCUUCUUAUUAUUAUUAUUAUUAUCUUAUUAUUAUUAUCUGCUCGCUAGGCUAAAAUGUGACCUGCCGAAGCAUGGAUGUUCAAAAAGGACUGCUCAUGUUCUUAUCGUCUCGCGUUCACGAGGGUUUUUUUUUUUCUUUUUUUUUUUUUUAUGCCAGUAUGAAUGAACAUGCAGGUCGUGUCGGUUUAUUUGCAUAAGGACCACGAGUCUUCCAUCUUCGAUGCGAGUGUAACUGUCGAGUUUACGUGAUAGAGCUGUAGAUGUUCCUUCCUUUCUUCUGGCUAUUGAAGUUAAUGACGCUACGUGAGCUUUAAGAUCCGCGGCUACGGGACGAGCCGUGUUCAGAGCAGUCAUCCGGGUUUCUGUUUCAUCGUUUGUUCUUGUUAAGCGCUUUGAGCUGAGCGGCUGCCAUCUUCACUUCUUUACAUCAUUUAAAAAAAAUUUGUUUUAAACGGGGCCUCAAGACUGUACCGUACGGAAUAAAACGCAUCGUGUCACGUCAUCGUGGGGAAAUGAUCAACGACGGGGUCGGUGUGAUGAAGCGGAGUUACUCAAGUUAAUGAACGGUCUGUAACAGCACAUCUGGAUGCGUUUUAUUCCCCUCGUACCACAGCGAUAUACCAGUGAUGUGAUUUUUGUAUGAAUUUUAUAAUGACACACCGUACUUUUUUUUUUUCUUUUUUUUUUUUAUCCCUUUAUAGCUACAUUACUGUUGUGGAAUUUCCUUCACCAGAUUUAUUUAUUUAUUUAUUUAUUUAUUUAAUUGCGAUUCUGAUUGGUUGAAGGCGUCGAUUAAUUUCCUAGGACAGUAGGAUCCCUCACCAGAUUUAUUUAUUUAUUUAUUUAUUUAUUUAUUUAUUUGCGAUUCUGAUUGGUUGAAGGCGUCGAUUAAUUUCCUAGGACAGUAGGAUCCCUCACCAGAUUUAUUUAUUUAUUUAUUUAUUUGCGAUUCUGAUUGGUUGAAGGCGUCGAUUAAUUUCCUAGGACAGUAGGAUCCUUCACCAGAUUUAUUUAUUUAUUUAUUUAUUUAUUUAUUUAUUUAAUUGCGAUUCUGAUUGGUUGAAGGCGUCGAUUAAUUUCCUAGGGCAGUAGUGCCGCCGCACGUCACGGGUUUAUAGUAAUGCGCCGGUUCUAACGCGCUAUCGUUUCUAUAGUAACAGCUCGGCGUAAACGUGCCCGUCUGAGGUUUUCUGUAAGGACGCGUUUAUGUAACGUUUCUGGAAGGAGACGCCAGUAUCGGAGGAGUUUACACUCACGGUACUUCCCGACACGACGACAUGUCCGUCCUGAAGACUUUCACGUGACCGUUACGAAGUGCUGACAACUGGAGACUCCUUCCCUGAAUGUUAAAUAAACACCUCCAUGCAGAAAACUUCAGCUUUUUAAACCCAGCGUGGUGGGGGGGGGUUUCCCCCCCAGACAUCUCUUUAGAACGGAUAUUAGCUUAACAUGAUUUCAGUGACGGACCCAGCUAGCAGAUGGGGAACGGAGAAGAUUAGAGCGGUACGAUGAGAGCGUAUAGUCACUCUGAUACAGGAUAUUGUGACCUACCAUGCUUCGUGACGAUUCUGUAAUCUGAUGGACAAUAAACGUCUUUUAUUUGAACAGAUUUGUGAAGAUGACUGAUCACGGCCGCAUCGUUCCCUCAGUUUUUUUUUUUUCUUUUUAAAAGCGUCUCGCGUUACCAAGCCCACUUUUGAAACUCGUACUCGGAGGUUAAUUCAGCGGUGGUUAUCUUGCGCCGGUAAUCUGCUGUGCGCAGCAUUGGCCGUAAGCCUCGCCGCGAUAACGCUGGGAGCACACGGCGAGGAAGCAAACGCAGAGAAAUCGGCUUCACGUCCACGGGUGUAAUUCCUCGCGGAUUCUCAUGGAUUUAAUUAAGCCUCCAUACCGCAACGGUCCAAAUUAUUCUCUCCGGGAACACUGGGUGUUUCUUCAUCCUCGCUGUUAGUGUGGAGUAAGAACUGGCUUUGAAACUUAGCAGGUUUAUUCUUUGUUUUUGUUUUUUUUUUUGUUGUUUUUUCUUUUACAAAAAGUUCAGGACGCUAUGAAACGAUCGAAGAUGUAAGGUCGUGUGACGAAAAAUCAUAUACAGACUUGGCAGGUCAUGAGAGCAGAUCAGCUCACCAGAUAGGCUAUAAUUAUUUAUCAUUUUAAUUAUAUUUGUAUUAAUGGAAGGGUGCAUGCAUCGGGCCUUUCGGACGUACUCGUGGAUGAUUUAUAAGAGGUUUCUUUAAAAAAAAAAAAAAAAA